rnacentral:rRNA from 1 species
AAUCUUUCACAAUGGACGAGAGUCUGAUGGCGCAACGCCGCGCGAGUGAAGAAGGUUCUCGGUUCGUAAAGCACUGUUGUAAGGGCAGAACAAGUACAGGAUUAACUGUCUGUAUCUUGACGGUAUCUUACCAGAAAGCCACGACUAACUAUGAGCCAGCGGCCGCGGUAAUACGUAGGUGGCAAGCGUUGUCCGGAAUUAUUGGGCGUAAAGGGCGCGCAGGCGGUCCUUUAAGUCUGAUGUGAAAGCCCACGGCUCAACCGUGGAGGGUCGUUGGAAACUGGAGGACUUGAGUACAGAAGAGGAAAGCGGAAUUCCACGUGUAGCGGUGAAAUGCGUAGAGAUGUGGAGGAACACCAGUGGCGAAGGCGGCUUUCUGGUCUGUAACUGACGCUGAGGCGCGAAAGCGUGGGGAGCAAACA